GACGAACGCUGGCGGCGUGCUUAACACAUGCAAGUCGAACGGAAAGGCCCUGCUUUUGUGGGGUGCUCGAUUGGCGAACGGGUGAGUAACACGUGAGUAACCUGCCCUUGACUUUGGGAUAACUUCAGGAAACUGGGGCUAAUACCGGAUAGGAGCUCCUGCUGCAUGGUGGGGGUUGGAAAGUUUCGGCGGUUGGGGAUGGACUCGCGGCUUAUCAGCUUGUUGGUGGGGUAGUGGCUUACCAAGGCUUUGACGGGUAGCCUGCCUGAGAGGGUGACCGGACACAUUGGGACUGCGAUACGGACCAGACUCCUACGGGAGGCAGCAGUGGGGAAUAUUGCACAACGGGCGGAAGCGUGAUGCAGCAACGCCGCGUGCGGGAUGACGGCCUUCGGGUUGUAAACCGCUUUCGCCUGUGACGAAGCGUGAGUGACGGUAAUGGGUAAAGAAGCAACGGCUAACUACGUG
rnacentral:rRNA from 1 species